UACACAGGAAAUACAGGUUAAGCUAAAAAUAGAGCACCCAAGCAGAGGUGCAGGUUUGGCUGUCAUCCACAUUAAGCUCCCAGAAAAGAGGCAGAUGAGCAUGGAGUGGGAUUUCUCCAGUUGCAGGGCAAGACGGAGGCCGCCUGGUGACAGCGUGCUGGUGGCAGGGAAACUGAGCAUGGAUUUCCUGCUGCAGUGAAUGUCCUUGAGUGCCUGUGUUCAUUGCUGUGCAUUUGGGAGCUGACUGGAGGCCUCCAGCUGGAAUCGAUGGGUCAGAGUAUGCAUGUUGCAGAGUUUAACACAUGCUGUCCCGCUGCCCCAGGGGGGCCUGCUUCCCCCACACACUUUCACCAGCAUUAGAUUUCACCUUUCUUAGUUUUUUUCUUAAUCUGUUGGGUGAAUAAAGCUUGUCUUAUCGA